UUUAGGUCAGCAUAAUUGUUGAAGCUUGGACCACAGGAGCCAGAGAUUUAGUUCAGAAACUAAGAGACAGAACUGUUCAUCCUCUUCAGCUUGAAGACAUUAACUGGAGAAUUAAUCUUCAAAUGGCUCAGACCACUCUAUCCAAGAUGAAACUACCUAAUGCAUUGUUUCAGUUGGGUAUCAGAAAUGACACAACUGGGGUGA
rnacentral:sRNA from 1 species